AUGAUGAUGCAAUGUUUUGUGAUCGAAUCUCUUAAAAUACAUCAAUAAAGAGUUUAGGAUGUCAAGUUUGCAUCAAAUAUGCCCACGGAGCCCCAACUAGACCAUGAAAAUCCGAUGUUGUAUCGAGGUCAAAUGACCUAGCUAGAGGUGUCAGAAAAUUAUGUAAAUUUACCAGAAAAUAGGAUUUAGUAUCCUUAUGAUGCAUGCCAAAAAGAAUUUUCAAAUUCCAAGUAUUUCUUUUUUGGCACCGGUGUCUCCUCGGACAUUUCAAUAUCCAUUGGUGCCAAGAGGGAAAAAGGGCUAUUAAGCUAUAUAGGGGGUGGGUGUUGAGGGAGUCUGGGCAGUCCGUGGGAACCCCCUUUUUCGGUUCGGACUUGGGUAGCGAUCGAGGGAUGGUAUCGAAUAUCGACACGAGGAAUGACCGACCGUCCGGCCAGCCGGGAUUUUCGCCGGACAACUUUUCCGGCGACUUUUCCGGCGAUCGGUUUUGUUGCCUUUUUCCGAGUUUUCUCAGCAGUUCUCGGACAAAAACUGCUGAAUCGUCGAGGAGAAUGGGCUUGCCUUGCGUGGCCUGCCAUUAGUUCUUCGAGGCGUUAGGGUGGCGGCGGUAUAAAAGUGUCGGAGUUUUUCAGCAGUUCUCGGACAAAAAUUGCUGAGUGGCCGAGAAGAAUGGGCGUGUCAUGCGUGGGCUGACAUGGAUUCUUCCGAGGCCCUAGGGGUGGCGGUAUAUAACUUGUUCGCAUGAUAUUACCGAGAUGUCCCCACGGGCAUCUUUUCACCUCGUCGCCGAAGAGAAUGGGCGUGUCAUGCAUGGGCUGACAUGGAUUCUCCUAGGCCGUUUGGGUGGCGGUAUAGUCGUCCUGCGCACGAAAUACCGAGAUGUCCCCAUGGGCAUCGAUUCCACCCGCCUAGGUUGGAUGGCGUGCUUCGUUGGAAAGCAUGGAUCCGCCUAGGCUGUCCCGAGUGUGAGCGAGGUGUGAGUGUCGCCCAUGGGCAUCGACACCUUGCGGCUAGGAACUGGAACGAGACGGCGGGUAGCAAAGAUUUCGAGUAGCACUUCAUACUACCGUGGGUUUUUUAAACCUUCCCCUAGUUUUGUUGAUGUUAUUCCGAGAAUUAGCAAACCGUAACGAAGAUGUUCUUAGCAACCAUCUUUUGAUGGGAGUCCCGGCUGUUGAAAGCCGGCCAAGGGUGAUGAACGAAAUGUGAACCCUUGUCUCGCCUAGGUUGGAUGGGCGUGCUUCGUUGGAAAGCAUGUAUCCGCCUAGGCUGUCCCGAAGGUAUCUCGCGCUUGUACGGCUUUGGCUCGGAUUCGUCCGUCUUCUUUCUUCUUAGCCGAGUACUUCGGUAGGUGGUUGGAACGAUUGAUGAUUUUGAGUUAAUUGAACGUUCGGCGUAUGAGUGGUGAUCGGAUAGCUAGUGUUCGUAGGCUCCAUGCUCGCGCAUCGAACUACCUACCACCUAUCCUUCUCAGUUAAUUCACGGGCGAUGUUACGCUCGAUGAUGAGUUCUGGGGCCUGUGUUUCGUACCUAAUUUGAAGGAAUUGUUGAGUUUGGUUUACACCUUUGCCCGCGCUUCUCCUUCGUGGGGAAGUCGUGGGCACAAACAUCGGCGCUUGUUCACCUCUCGUCAUCGCAUUUGUUGCCUUGCUCGCAUUGGUGAAUGAGUUGCGGGUUGAAAUCUCGGAUGCGGAAAAGUUGUCGACGGUGACUCGAAGUGAUUCAGUCCCGCCAAAGCUCAUCCGUCCUUCGGGCAAAAGAUGACGGUCAAGACCUCGUCCUUUCUCUCUUUCCAUUGCGUUUGAGAGGAUGUGGCGGGGAAUUGCCGUGAUCGAUGAAUGC
rnacentral:misc_RNA from 1 species